CCGUUGACUUGGAGGGAGACAGACACGGGAGUAGCAACACUUGAGGGAAGAAAGACCAGAAGUUCUGUUUUGGACAGUUUGAGUUUAAGGAAGUGAGCAGCCAUCCAGUUGGAAAUCGCAGAGAGGCAGUCAGAGACAUGAGUCAAGAUGGGCAGAGAGAGAUCAGAAGAGGACAGGUAGAUUUGUGUGUCAUCUUCACAUAAAUG